UUCUGGUUGAUCCUGCCGGAGGCGACCGCUUUUGGAGUUCGAUUAAGCCAUGCGAGUCGAGAGUCUUAGGGACUCGGCAUACUGCUCAGUAACACGUGGAUAACCUGCCCUAUCGUCUGGAAUAACCUCGGGAAACUGAGAAUAAGGCCGGAUAGUUCACAAUGCCUGGAACGGUUUGUGGAUAAAGGUAGGAUGGGUCUGCGGCGUAUCAGGUUGUAGGGGGUGUAACGGACCCCCUAGCCAUCGACGCGUACGGGUGUUGGGAGACAUAGCCCGGAGAUGGAUUCUGAGACACGAAUCCAGACCCUACGGGGUGCAGCAGGCGCGAAAACUUCACACUGCAGGAAACUGUGAUGAGGGAACUCCAAGUGCGUGCAUUUUAUGUACACUUUUCUGAACUCUUAAUCGGUUCAGGAAUAAGGGCUGGGAAAGACCGGUGCCAGCCGCCGCGGUAAUACCGGCAGCUCAAGUGGUCGUCGCUUUUAUUGAGCCUAAAACGUCCGUAGCCUGUUUGGUAAAUCUGUGGGUAAAUCAACCAGCUUAACUGGUUGAAUUCUGCAGAGACUGCCAGACUAGGGACCGGGAGAGGUGUGGGGUACUCGAGGGGUAGGGGUAAAAUCCUGUCAUCCUUCGAGGACCACCAGUUGCGAAGGCGCCACACUGGAACGGAUCCGACGGUCAGGGACGAAGCCUAGGGGCACGAACCGGAUUAGAUACCCGGGUAGUCCUAGGUGUAAACGCUGUGAACUUGGUGUCGGGGGUCCGCAAGGGGUCCCCGGUGCCGGAGUGAAGAUGUUAAGUUCACUGCCUGGGGAGUACGGUCGCAAGGCUGAAACUUAAAGGAAUUGGCGGGGGAGCACUGCAACGGGAGGAGCGUGCGGUUUAAUUGGACUCAACGCCGGGA
rnacentral:rRNA from 1 species